rnacentral:rRNA from 1 species
UACGUAGGGGGCAAGCGUUGUCCGGAUUUAUUGGGCGUAAAGAGCGCGCAGGCGGUCGUACAAGUCGCGUGUGAAAGCCCCCGGCUCAACUGGGGAGGGUCACGCGAUACUGUUCGACUCGAAGGCAGGAGAGGGAAGCGGAAUUCCCGGUGUAGUGGUGAAAUGCGUAGAUAUCGGGAGGAACACCAGUGGCGAAGGCGGCUUCCUGGCCUGUUCUUGACGCUGAGGC